GAAUCGAAGUAAUAAAAUCAAUCAUCUAAACUAAAGUUUAAAUUCAAGUAACUCAGACAGAUGGUAAUAGGAAAAGAGCUAUUAACCACGAGCCAAAACACGAUAAGCUCUGUUUUGAAAUUGUGAAUGAAUGUGAAAAAGAUUUAAAGAAAAGUAUAUCGGUGGAAAUAUGAAUGUGUCAGUAAAGAAUAAUCAUUCAUUUAAGCAUAAUAAAAGCCAGAAAAACAAAUUCUUGUUAUAUGUUUUAAAUUGUGAAUAAAACAGAAUAGUAUAAUCAUUCAUUUCAACUAAAUUUGAAAGUCAAGUAUGUCAGAUGAAAUACAUAAAAAUGUCACACAAGUAAACUGUUGAAAUUAUAAAUGAGUUCGAAAACUUUGCUUGUCAGGCCAUAAAGUGACCAUUUUAUCACUCCAAGAAUAGCAUCAACAAACAAUCUGAGAACAACUCAAUGGAGAGAGAGAGAGUGAGAGAUGAGGCUCAAGAAGAAAGCCGCCAACCAGUUGACAACGCAUGUCAAUUAACAGGCUGCAAUUGCGACUCAGUCAUCUUCUGCUGCUGCUGCUGCUUGGGAGGCAUUUUCAACAGACUUCGCAAAUCAUAAACACAUAAAUUAUAUAGAGAAAGAUAUCAAGAGAAGGAUAGAAAGAGAGGGAGAGAGGGGAUCAAAUAAUCAAUUGGCAUCUUUCAGUUUUCAUCGCUGUCUGCUGAAUGUUGCCGUUUUUAAUUGAGUCUAAAAAUAGCAGCGAGUACGAGAACGAAUACGAGUGUUGAGUAUGAAUACAAGUGCGAGUACUCGUGUUCAAUUGAACUAAAUUUGCACUUGUUCAUUUCUAAGGACAACAACGAUGUGAGUGAGUAAAAGAAGAGUCCACUCGAGGGGGCAACCACAGCAACCGCAACAACAACAAAAGUUGCGGAGGUCUUUGGCCACACUCAAGUGAUUCGCUUGGAAAUGGAUUUGAAGUGGCAGCUGGAACUAUUUUUGGACCAGCGACAAGCGGAAGAUUUCAGUUAUAACCAACUACAACUGAAUGGUGCUUAAUCUAAGAUAGUUUAACGAGUCUAUUUUUGAGUUAAACAGUCACUAGAAAAACCCUGCUUAACACCUCCUAACUCAACAUGAUUAACAAUCCUUCAUAGUGCUAAAAUUUCGUAUUAGAUUAUCUAUAUCUAUGCGCAAAGUUGCCCCACAAUCGUUUCGUAGUUACAAAAGCUAUAAAAACUCGACUCAACAA